rnacentral:tRNA from 1 species
AAGACUUUAGUUAAGUAGUAAUGACAGCUUGUCAGUCUGUAGUCGCCUAGGGCAAGUCUUA